rnacentral:lncRNA from 1 species
GGAAAUUGGACAAAGCGACAAAUCACGAAGAAAGAAAGACUCGCCACUCCCUCUCAAACAUUAAUACAUCUGAAUACAAAGUACGUAAAUAAUAAAACAAGAGUUUAUAUUCAAAACUCGAAGAAGCAUCAACUGAAGUUUGGGACUGCAGGGCCAAACUUCAAACAUUACCAGGUUAAAUUUCGUCUGAAGUUUGCAACUAUCAUGCCAGGAAAAAUUAUCUGAAGUUCAAAUAUAACAAGUUAAUUUUGUCUAAAGUUUGCAUUACAAAUUAGUAUGAAGUUUGCACUACAAACUAAAGAACUUCAGACUAAUUUAUCUGAAGUUUGCACUACAAACUGAAGAACUUCAGACUAAUUUGUCUGAAGUUUGCAUUAUGAAAUGAAGUUUUUUUGAUUGCUUUUGCAAAUUAGGCCAAACUUCAGAUGAAAGUAUCUGAAGUUUACUUUGAUAAGGUCAUACUUCAGGCAAAAAAAUUUGAAGUUCAAACUUCAGACAUAAAUCGUUGCUACUUAAAGCCCUGUAUGUCUGAAGUUACCCGAAAAGUAAGUAGGCUUGCAAUUUUUUUUCCAAACAGAUAUAAGUAAAAUUGUGACCUAAAAAUUGUAUAUAGAUGCAAAUCCCCCCAUGUUAUGAGCCUUUUAAAACUUCCGCACAAUCAGACCAAGUUAUGAGCCUUUAAAUGGGCUAACUUAUUGGUUGGCUUAUUGAUGUAUAGUUAGGCGCAUUUGUAUCUAUACUCAUUUUUUGGGUCACAUUUUAACUUGUGCCCGCUUUGCAAAAAAAAUUGUAAGUGUACCCACUUUUUCGCGUAACUUCAGCAUACGAGGCUGAAGUAGCAAAGAUAAUCACGAAAAACUUCAGUAUUCUAGUAGACGGGACUGAAGUAGCAAGUUUUUGUUUUUGUAACUGACGAACUUCAGCUCUAGAGCUGAAGUUUUUGUUUUGUAACUGGCAAACUUCAGCUCUAGAGCUGAAGUUUUUGUUUUGUAACUUGCGAACUUCAGUUCUAGAGCAGAAGUUUUUAUUUUUGUAACUGGCGAACUCUCUAGAGCUGAAGUUUUUAUUUUGUGGCAGGAACAACUUCAGCUCUGAAGUUGUUUCUGCCUAGAUAUAGCUUUUUCACACUGAUUAUUGGAUAAUUUUUUAGUAGUGUGUUCCUAAAUGGAAAGGCUUUUGGCUAUUAUCAUAAUGAUUCUUGCUCUCCUUAACAAAACUUGAAUAGCUAUAGUCUAAUACACCUUGCAUUUUACCUUUAUUUACUUUUCGGUUUGUGUCCCCCUUAACUUCUUGUAAAAUGUUAUCACAACGAUUAUUAUCCUCCUUCAACAAAGCUUGCAUAUUUUUACAUUUAUAAAAUUCAAUCAUCAAUAGGUCUUACAUCUUACCAUAAUGAUCAGCAGCAAGAAGAGAGGAGCAUCGCCAUCAGGAAAGUAAAUCUGUUGAAGGGAUUCCGGCAGAUUGAAGCUACUCGUCCCUUUGAAAAGUUGCAAGUUAGAGUCACCUUCUUCUCCAGCACACAAUCUGUGCAGUGUUUAAAGAGGUUGAGGGCGGAUAUAACUUUGAGGAGGAGAAGGAGGAGGAGAAAAGGGGCUAAAGUUGUUUAAAAAAUGAGUACAAGUUUAAACUUUUAAAAAAAAGUGGAUAUAAGUUAAAUGGGGGCGACCAAAUAGGGCACCCCGUGCAAUUUUUACGUGAAGGCAAGCAACUAUAGAUUCAAAAAUUAGACAUGUAAUUACACAAACUGACAAACUUAAUCAUAAUAACAACUGAGAACUUUAAAUUUGUUUCAAUGUAAAUUUAAGGGAAACUACCAGCUAUGUCCAUUUAUAAGUAACUCAUUACAAAAAUUGAUUAAUUCAUAAAAUAUUACUAAUAUUAGCCAAUUAACUAUUUGUAGCAAAAAAUAUCAAAUUUUUGCUUUCUUUUGAAUGAGUGCUAUUAGAAUAGAUUGUGUACAUCUUAAGGAGCUUGAAUCUCAGUUUUUAGAUGAUUUGGUGAAGUUUUGAGGUGAUUUGAAUUGAAAAUUCGAAGUAAAAACUGAAUAUGAAAAAAAAUGAUAUGUGUAUCACACUGUAUAUCAUUUAUGUAUCACACAUGUGUCAUAUUUGUAUCAAUUGUGUAUCACAUGUAUAUCCACGUAUACUUGUGUGUGAGAUACAUGCAUGAUACAUGUUUGAUACAUAUGUCGCAGAAGAAUUUUUUAAACUUGAUUUAACUACGAAUUUUGAUACAAAACCAGUCCAAAUUACCUCCAACCUUCCUCAAAUUUUGUUUAUUGACUUAUCCAUAUGUUUUCAAUGAAUUGCAACUAUACCCAUUGAAAAAGUUCCUUUUUUUGCUUAGAUUUUUGGAAUAUUAUAUUUUUUUUUUUUUGGUAUUUCAUCACCUUAUUCACUACCUCAUCCAUAAAAUUUCCUUUCCGUCUUGCAUCUAAUGUUGCUAAUCAUGCUUAAAAACAUGGAAGGUGAUUUUUGCAUGUGAUUCUUUGAGAGAAAGAACCUUAUUUAUUUAGUUUUUCAAUUUUUAUAUGUGUUUGGCUAGUUUUAGUAAGUUUAUGACUAAUGACUAGAGGUUAAUAAGUUGAGACUUAUUUGAAACAUUUGUGUAAGUUUCCCUAAAUUUAAUACUAUCAUAAUGACUAUCCUUAACAAAUACAGUCUCGAACGCUAGAAAAUUUUUUUAAAAAAACAUGCGUUUUGCUUUUAGAUUCAUCCAUCAUUGCUUGCAGAAAUGCAUGAUUAUUUUUAAACUCAAUUCAACAUUGCCUGGAAUUUUCAAUCAACAAAUUUGAGCUACUGGUGAUCAAAAUCAUGGAUUAAGCAUUUCUAAACUUCAAAAAAUACCUCGCAAGCCAUGAUCAGGUUAUUAUUCAACUGAAAAAACACUAAAGGAAUCCUAGGUCAAGUGACAAUAAAUUCAGUUCUAGUACAAGAGAUUCACACAAUUAGCUAUCAAUUUGAUUGAACUGUAAAUCAGCAAAUAUAAUUCUCCGUGUAACCAGCAAUUUCAAAUUAAGUGAUAGCUUAUACGAGCAGUUUAACAGCUGUGAUGAUCCGAUAGGUUAUUUAUAGUUUUAACCCUUUAUUCUCUCUUUUGAAACCUUGAAUAGCUACGUUUAGCCUUUCUCGAUUGUCACACCUCUUUUUUACCAAACUUCACUAUACCCUCUUAAAUAAAUAAAUAAAUAAAAUUUAGCAAAGCUCGAAAGGGUUUUUCAAUCUUGAAAGUGACAAAGGAUAGUGUUCAAAAGGAAAUAACUCAGAAUCGCCACCUAGCAUUAUUUUUUUGGUGUGCCAGGUCACCAUUUUUUAGAAAAUAUUUUUCCUUUUAAAAACACUUGGACUCAAAACUAAGUCUGCACCAGAGAUUCGGGUAAGGGGGUUCAUUUGACUCGGGGAGAAGGUGUUAAGCACCCCCCAGGUCCCGUGAAGGUCACGGUUGCGCACUCGAUCUAGUUGGCUUUUAGAAUAUUCAAGUUGGUGUAAAAAUAACACAGAAAAGAAAAAAAAAUAAACACACAAAAGGCUCGAGGUCGUCCCUACCUAAUAAAAGAAAAUGAAAAGGAAAAGGAAAGAAAAGUCCUAAGCUAACCUAUACUACGACUUCUCCACCAUGCUCAUCAAGGCCUCCAAAAUAUUUACAUAGUUCUUCACGGUAUACCCCGGAUAAUAAUAUUUACAAACUUCAUGGGGCAUUCCCCGGAUAAAUUUAAUUAAGGAACAACCUCUCACCUUAAAACUAACAAAUAUUCUAAGGCUUGCCUACCCAAAUGUGGUCAGCCUAAGCAUGCUCCUAGCGAGUACUAACAUCGAUAAAGAAGAUAAAAGGAACUAUAAAAGAACUAAGUAAAGGAACACAUCAACUCAUGCCCAUGUCUUGUUUUUUAACUUUUAUUUUUAUUAGACCGGGCCCGACGCCAAAAGCAUGGAGACAAAUCAAUUGCUAAUGGGCAUCGGUCUUUUCCCACUCCCCCGCGACCCAACAAUCAUACAAAAUGCCAAUCAAGUAAGGGAGAACGAAUUCCAAAUCACACAAGGAAAAGAGCAUAUGGAAUGACAACGAAAUAAAGGCAUGGUGGAUUAAAAUAUUAUAAGGGACAUAUAAAUCUAGCCAACCCGCCUCACUUUUUCACUUUUCUGUAUGUUGUUAUAUCACAACAUGAAUGAGCAGUGGCUUAAACAUUCAAGUUGGUCACCUUAGAGUUAGAAAACAAAGACAUCCUUAACCAAAUAGUAACGACAGAUGUUGCAGGAAUACUAAGUGAUGCUCACACCAAACAAUAUGUCAUUUUCAUAAUUAACUUAACAUUUUCGAACCAAGCAGGGUGCAAACCAAUCUUAGAAGCCUUUAACAAAAAUGUCUUGAACCUAACCAUGUGGAUAUUGUGAGAUUAACAGAAGCAUACAAGCCAAAAAAACAUGUCAAUUCGGUCACUGUUAGUUCAAACUUCCAUGCUUAACUUCACAAGGAUUAACGUUUUCCUUUAUCACUUAAGCGCAGGGAGAUCAAGGCACACAAACAGAACAUCAAUUUCAGUUCUUAAUGUGCAAUCAAGUUAGCAAAUGCCAUAACUCCCAUUCAGAUGUAACAAUCAGUCAAGCCCAAAACUAUCAUAAAUUCGAUCUGUUUACCCGUAACGAAGUAGUUCAAAAACUCAAUUGAAGAUCAGAUUUGAAAAUGUGGAAAAGAUAGCGAUGAGAACACAUAUUAAACUCAUGCACAAGCUGAACAAUCCACCAGAAAGCAAUUAAAUCAAAAACAACCAGCCACAAUCACUACGAAUCCAUAUUAAUAAUUUCUGAGGAUCGAUUCAAAAUAAGAAAGUCAAGGCGAAUAGGGAAUGAACCUGUUGGGGCGAAUUUUUCUUAAAUAACAGCAGGAGAUUCAGUGAUAAUUCAACUUCAAUUUCCAGAAUUCAAACGAGAUACAACUUCAAAAUUGGAAAGAAACCUCGAACAAGAACUCGAAACGGCACUGGAAUUUCGAAUCCGAACACGAACUCCAACUCGUACUUCAAUCCAUUUGUAUGUUGUAGUCGAGAUUGAAAUCGAGGGAAGCAGCAGAAAUUUUCUUUUUUUCUUUUCUUAAUAUGUAUGAAAACGAAAACGGAAAUCCAAAGAAGAAUCUGGAAGUCCCAAAAUUAAACCCUAGAACCCUUUCCUUCCGAUUUUUCUCUAAAUUUUUCCCCUAUCUUUUCUGUUCACCCCCCAAAAUCUGAGAAACCACCCCAAUAUAUAGGGGGUCUCGAACCAUCUAUGCUUCCUCGCCAAGAAAUCGAUUUUUAUCUCCAAAUCCGAAAAAAGAACUCCAAAAUUCCGAAAAUCUCCUUAUUUUCGGUAAAAAUCUGGGCAGAUGGAGGGUAUGAUUAAUUUUCAUUAAUCAUAUCCUACCCUUCGUCCAUCAUCUACUGUUGAAAGAGAUUCACAUGUUAGAAAACAUAUCAAAAACGCGGAUAAGAAAGAGUAAGGGAAUAUUCGAACCAAAAUCGGUUAUUUGUCAGGCCACAUGGAAGAAAGAGAGAAGGGAAAGGGGGACAAUGAAUUAACUCGCUAGAAUCAGUGAGUGUUCCGGCGAGUUUUGGGCGAGCGGAAGGUGGCAGAGAUGAGGGGCGCCGUUUUAGGUUGAUC